rnacentral:ncRNA from 1 species
AAGUGCAUGGGCCGGUGCCAGUCUGGUGUACUGUCGUCGCGUUUCUCCCCCUCCCUCUUGGUCUACUGAGGGUCAGUCACACACAGGGGAGAGAACCGACAACAGCACCCGGAUUCGGCUGAGAUUAUACGGCUGAACUUGAUCUGGAUAAUACCAGCGAAAGGAUCAUGCCUUCUUCUUCC